rnacentral:rRNA from 1 species
CCUACGGGUGGCAGCAGUCGAGAAUCAUUCACAAUGGGGGAAACCCUGAUGGUGCGACGCCGCGUGGGGGAAUGAAGGUCUUCGGAUUGUAAACCCCUGUCAUGUGGGAGCAAAUUACAAUGAUAGUACCACAAUAGGCAGAGACUGCUAACUCUGUGCCAGCAGCCGCGGUAAGUCAGAGGUCUCAAGCGUUGUUCGGAAUCACUGGGCGUAAAGCGUGCGUAGGCUGUUUCGUAAGUCGGGUGUGAAAGGCGCGGGCUCAACCCGCGGACGGCACAUGAUACUGCGAGACUAGAGUGAAGGAGGGGGAAGCGGAAUUCUCGGUGUAGCAGUGAAAUGCGUAGAUAUCGAGAGGAACACUCGUGGCGAAGGCGGGUUCCUGGACAGUAACUGACGCUGAGGCACGAAGGCCAGGGGAGCGAAAGGGAUUAGAUACCCCUGUAGUC